CAAUUUGAUUCAUACUAAAAUACGUUUUAUAUCUUUGGAGUCAGAUUAUAAAGUUGCGUAACAUUAAAACGUCAUUGAUAAGCGCCGGAAAAGACUGAACGCGCUAUAAACCUUCGCUAUGCGUUUGGAUUCCGUCGUUGGGCCAAACGGAUGGAUGGGGUCACAUGUGUUCCCCUUACAACACAAACUACUCAAAGCUUUUGGGCCUGGCUGAGCUUUUAGGGUGUGACUACUUCAGGAAGUCAAAUAUACCUGGACAAAGAAGGACAUGUAUUUAAUCAGAUCUUGGACUUGGUCCCUACUCCUGCUGGCAAAGCAGACACUAGAACGUAAUGCUGAAGAAGGCUAUCCCAACUGAGAAACUGUAUGGACUGGGAACUGAUGGGGCAGCUGUUAUGACGGGAAGUGGAGGACACACGCUGGCUUGCUCAACACAGGGCCAUUAAAACCCUACAGAGAAAUCUCAGCUCAGUCCUUGGAGCCUUGGCAGAGGAGGCAGAGAUGAGAAGAUGUCCAGGACCAAAAGGACUCUACACAAUUUGUGCUACAUACAGAUUUGUAGCAGCUGUUUGUCUCCAGGUUGAUGUAUUGCCACACCUUGCACGCCUGUCCAAAAUAUUUCAAAAAUGUCAACUUUCUACAUAUUAAGGAGCAAGUAGGUUCCGGUCACAAUUCAAAGUCUGAGGAGCAUCAAAGAGACUGCACAGAUGCCGCUCCCUGGAUCAUUCUUGUCCCAACUUCAACAGGACCUUGAUGAUCCCCAAAGACUUGGAGCCUUCAACAUAAAGCAUGAGGAGGAGAGGAACAGGAGAGGGCAAGAUUCCAGCGAGAUGUAUGUAUUAAUGCUCUCCUUUUUUUUUAGAAGAAAUGUUAUAAUUAAUAAUAAAGGAUGUUGAUCUGUGCAUUGUGGGUCAUCCACCCUUACAUAACUGGCCUGGAAAAACACCUUCACAGAAGGUUUCACGAGCUGGACAUUCUUGGGGCUUUUAGUGUCUUGGGACCACAAUCGGCUGUCCCACAAGAUAACAGAGACAUUGCUAAUCUGCAGAUUCUGGCCAGGAAAUUUUCCCCUCAACAUGAGAAGGAGGUCCUGCAAGAAUGGCUCUCAUUUAAGAAUCAUGCUCUCAUUGGGGCAUGCAUUUAAGGUAGGUAAAAUAGGAGGGCAUGACUACAACACACACUACAUGCUAAUCAUGUUCAAAUAUUAUUUCAAGAACAAGACCCGGGAGGAGCUCUUGAGUCUGCUGGCAAGCGAGUUUGAUGAGUGGGCCAACCUUUACCCCUUCCUGAGCCUUCUUGCAAGCAUUGCCCUUGUUAUCCCCAUUUCCAGUGUUCACUGUGAACCGGGUGAAAACAGACCUGAGAAAUCAGCUUCAAGGAGAACACCUCUCUGCCUGUCUAAGGAUCUCCAGAAAUGAACCUCAAACAGAGGACUUUCCAUAUGAGAGGGCAUUAGAAUAUUUUUUCAGAAAGCCUACCACCACAAAUAGAUUGUAAAUCUGUGGGAAACACUGUACAGCCCUUCACUCAUAAAACCUUUUAAAGGUAACGUUACCACAUUUAUUUAUUUAUUCAUUUAUUAUGUUGAGUACAUCACAGUUCUGUAAGUGGAAAAUUAAUUCAUAUUUAUUAGAGGUCGACCGAUUUAUGACGAGUUGUAAAGCUGGAUAUCAUCCGCAUAGCAGUGAAAACGUAUGUUAUGUUUUCUGAUAAUGUCUCCUACCAUCAUUAACACAACAAAAACUAAAGAAAUGUUACUACAAGUGGACCCAUUUAUUUACUCAUCAUGCUGCGAGUACACCACAGUUUUGUCAGUAAAACAAUAAUAUUUGUGUUUUCUCACUGUUUGGCCUAUAAUGUGACUAAUGUGACCCUGUGUAAUUUGGAAAUUUCAUGGGAAAAGUGUAUGUCUUAAUGUUUAAAUGUCAUUUGAAUUAAGGAACAGUACAUUUGAUUUACUAAAAGUGUACACUACAUUAAGUCUAUUAAAGUCAUAAAGGAAUACUUGAUUUAUUUCAUAAGAAAUGUGUAAAUGUGAAUUUGGACCCAAAAGCACACUUUUGUUUUGUUUAGAAAAAUGUUUGUAACAUAAAUGAUUGUUCAAUAAACUGUAAUAAUUUUACCUUUUGUUGUCAUCAUUUUUAUACUAAUGUUUUUCUGAUCUUAUGAAACUUAAUUCAUUUGAGUUAAGUCAACUUAAACCAUUUAAGGCAAUCGGUUUCCUCAAACCAU